CAGGCCAGGUUCUGAAACGGAAGGGGCGCCAGAGGGGCUGAGUUCUUUCUCCAUUCUGAGGCACGGCGGGGAGGCAGGAAACCGAAAGCAGAGGGGAACUUACUUUUCUGGGAAUGCAUUUGUCUGUUUUAGAUGAGAAACUGAGACCACAGCGCUGAAGGGACUUGCCCAAGGCCACACAGCUUCACUGACCUCCAAAGUACCAAGCAAGCAGGAACCUAGAUAAGGAAGAUGUUGGGAAGAUACAGGCUGACAGCAGCGAGCCCGAUGUGGGGCUCGAACUCACGAACCACGAGAUCAUGACCUGAGCCAAAGUCAGAUGCUCAACUGACGAAGCCACCCAGGUGCCCCGGGACAGGCUUUCUGAGACUCUGUAAUGCAUGACCCAAGGAAACAUCCGGCCAUGUGGAAGAAAGUGCUUCCAGGAUUAAAUUAAACAUCCUCUUCAAGGUAAUUUACAGGCUAAGGAUUUUAAGACUCCUAUUUGUCACACACUCAGAGUUGGGGGGUGGUGGUAGCACAGUUUGGAUGAUUGCUUUCUCACUGGCUUGUCAGGGCUGGCCUAGAUGUGCUCGUCAUUAACUGGAAGCCUAGCAAGGGGAGUACGCUGUGUCUGUG